rnacentral:rRNA from 1 species
UCUUGGCCAGCCUUCUGAAAGGAAGAUUAAUACAAGAUGGCAUCAUGAGUCCGCAUGUUCACAUGAUUAAAGGUAUUCCGGUAGACGAUGGGGAUGCGUUCCAUUAGAUAGUAGGCGGGGUAACGGCCCACCUAGUCUUCGAUGGAUAGGGGUUCUGAGAGGAAGGUCCCCCACAUUGGAACUGAGACACGGUCCAAACUCCUACGGGAGGCAGCAGUGAGGAAUAUUGGUCAAUGGGCGAGAGCCUGAACCAGCCAAGUAGCGUGAAGGAUGACUGCCCUAUGGGUUGUAAACUUCUUUUAUAAAGGAAUAAAGUCGGGUAUGGAUACCCGUUUGCAUGUACUUUAUGAAUAAGGAUCGGCUAACUCCGUGCCAGCAGCCGCGGUAAUACGGAGGAUCCGAGCGUUAUCCGGAUUUAUUGGGUUUAAAGGGAGCGUAGAUGGAUGUUUAAGUCAGUUGUGAAAGUUUGCGGCUCAACCGUAAAAUUGCAGUUGAUACUGGGUAUCUUGAGUGCAGUUGAGGCAGGCGGAAUUCGUGGUGUAGCGGUGAAAUGCUUAGAUAUCACGAAGAACUCCGAUUGCGAAGGCAGCCUGCUAAGCUGCAACUGACAUUGAGGCUCGAAAGUGUGGGUAUCAAACAGGAUUAGAUACCCUGGUAGUCCACACGGUAAACGAUGAAUACUCGCUGUUUGCGAUAUACAGCAAGCGGCCAAGCGAAAGCGUUAAGUAUUCCACCUGGGGAGUACGCCGGCAACGGUGAAACUCAAAGGAAUUGACGGGGGCCCGCACAAGCGGAGGAACAUGUGGUUUAAUUCGAUGAUACGCGAGGAACCUUACCCGGGCUUAAAUUGCAGAUGAAUUACGGUGAAAGCCGUAAGCCGCAAGGCAUCUGUGAAGGUGCUGCAUGGUUGUCGUCAGCUCGUGCCGUGAGGUGUCGGCUUAAGUGCCAUAACGAGCGCAACCCUUGUUGUCAGUUACUAACAGGUUCCGCUGAGGACUCUGACAAGACUGCCAUCGUAAGAUGUGAGGAAGGUGGGGAUGA